rfam:TPA: Bos taurus chromosome 12, whole genome shotgun sequence.
UUAAUGGCUCUUCUCAGAGCCCUCAUAUGUGUAAAAGAAGCCUAUU